rnacentral:rRNA from 1 species
UACAGAGGUGGCGAGCGUUGUUCGGAUUUAUUGGGCGUAAAGGGUCCGUAGGUGGCUUGAAAAGUCGGAUGUGAAAUCCCGCAGCUCAACUGCGGAACUGCAUUCGAAACUUUCAGGCUAGAGUGUGAGAGGGGUAAAGGGAAUUCCCGGUGUAAGGGUGAAAUCUGCAGAGAUCGGGAGGAACACCAGUCGCGAAGGCGCUUUACUGGCUCACAACUGACACUGAGGGACGAAAGCUAGGGGAGCAAACGGG